AAGUUAAUACUGUUCAUGUUAUUAAUGUUAUCAUUUGUUCUGGUACUUAGUGAUGUUCAGAAAGUCAGUAGCUGGAGUGAAUAAAGGUUGGAAAGGUCUCUGUGGUUCAUCCAGCCCUGUACUCCCUGCUCCGUGGAUCCAACCCUCCUGCUAAGCUAAGCUUUGUGGGAGAAAGGAAGGCAGAAUCUCACCCCUACAGAACAGCAGAACAGUUUCCAGGCUGAACUCUCUAACAUACACAAUCUCCUCUGUGCUUCUGCAGACACAGACCCACCAGCCCUGUGAGAAGAUGAGUGUGUUUACCAUGUUGAAGAAAUCAGCAGUAGAUUUAGUGGAGUGCCUUUGGGCAGGUAAAGCCAGC
rnacentral:lncRNA from 1 species